GUGCCAGCAGCCGCGGUAAUACAGAGGGGGCAAGCGUUAUUCGGAAUUAUUGGGCGUAAAGGGCGCGUAGGCGGUUUUUUAAGUCAGAUGUGUAAUCCCCGAGCUUAACUUGGGAACUGCAUCUGAGACUGGAAGGCUAGAGUACUGGAGAGGGUGGUGGAAUUCCUCGUGUAGCGGUGAAAUGCGUAGAGAUGAGGAGGAACACCAGUGGCGAAGGCGGCCACCUGGACAGUAACUGACGCUGAGGCGCGAAAGUGUGGGUAGCAAACAGGAUUAGAUACCCGCGUAGUCC
rnacentral:rRNA from 1 species